rnacentral:rRNA from 1 species
GGAUCGUAAAAGUAACUGCUCGCACCUUGACGGUACCUAACCAGAAAGCCACGGCUAACUACGUGCCAGCAGCCGCGGUAAUACGUAGGUGGCAAGCGUUGUCCGGAAUUAUUGGGCGUAAAGGGCUCGCAGGCGGUUUCUUAAGUCUGAUGUGAAAGCCCCCGGCUCAACCGGGGAGGGUCAUUGGAAACUGGGAAACUUGAGUGCAGAAGAGGAGAGUGGAAUUCCACGUGUAGCGGUGAAAUGCGUAGAGAUGUGGAGGAACACCAGUGGCGAAGGCGACUCUCUGGUCUGUAACUGACGCUGAGGAGCGAAAGCGUGGGGAGCGAACAGGAUUAGAUACCCUGGUAGUCCACGCCGUAAACGAUGAGUGCUAAGUGUUAGGGGGUUUCCGCCCCUUAGUGCUGCAGCUAACGCAUUAAGCACUCCGCCUGGGGAGU